rnacentral:rRNA from 1 species
GCCUACGGGAGGCAGCAGUAGGGAAUCUUCCACAAUGGGCGAAAGCCUGAUGGAGCAACGCCGCGUGGGUGAAGAAGGUCUUCGGAUCGUAAAACCCUGUUGUUAGAGAGGAAAGUGCGUGAGAGUAACUGUUCACGUUUCGACGGUAUCUAACCAGAAAGCCACGGCUAACUACGUGCCAGCAGCCGCGGUAAUACGUAGGUGGCAAGCGUUAUCCGGAUUUAUUGGGCAUAAAGGGAACGCAGGCGGUCUUUUAAGUCUGAUGUGAAAGCCUUCGGCUUAACCGGAGUAGUGCAUUGGAAACU